rnacentral:rRNA from 1 species
UACGUAGGGGGCAAGCGUUGUCCGGAUUUAUUGGGCGUAAAGAGCGUGUAGGCGGCCAGGUAGGUCAGCUGUGAAAACUCGAGGCUCAACCUCGAGAUGUCGGCUGAAACCAUCUGGCUAGAGUCCGGAAGAGGAGAAUGGAAUUCCCGGUGUAGCGGUGAAAUGCGCAGAUAUCGGGAAGAACACCCGUGGCGAAGGCGGUUCUCUGGGACGGUACUGACGCUGAGACGCGAAAGCGUGGGGAGCAAACAGG